AUCUCCCUGUCGGUCGUCUGCCGCAGUAGUAAAUCCUCUAAUCUCUUCAUCCUGUCCUCCUGCCGACGCACGGCAUCCAUCUGCUGUCGCGCUGCCGCAGCCUGCUGAGCAACCAAAUUCGUCAGCUUCGCGAGCUGAUCCUGCAACUCAUGGAUCCCACUAGAUCCAGAAGUAACGGAGGUCCCCACUUCCUCCGCAUCCGCCGCCUCAGCUGCCCCGACGGCUU
rnacentral:lncRNA from 1 species